rnacentral:lncRNA from 1 species
GUUUGGAUACAUGAAUAUCUUACUUGUUACUUCUCCUUGAUUUGGUUAAAAAAAUGUACAUUUGAUGACUAAAUAUUUAAAAUGAAAUAUCAUAUUCAACUUUCAAGUCAUUUUUAAAAUUAAAUUAUCUUGCGGAAGAAACAUGUUAUCCAACCAAAUCAGAGGUAGCAAAAUUUUGGAAUAAAUAGAAAUUAAUCUCCUUAGUUAUAAUUAUGUGCCAGAAAAACUUUACCCGUUUCGUUUAUUUCAUUUAGAAAUAAACAAACUUAGCUAGAAAUGUGAAUCAACUAGGAUUCGAACUUGGGUCUCGGAUACCAACCACCAAGCCCUUUGUCACUUGCUCUAGGGACGGUCGAUACCAAAAAAGUGUUGUUAUAUAUAUUGAUAUUUAAACAGGGUCCAAUAUUUUAUACUUUUAUCUCUUUUUAAUAAGAUCUACCGGAUCGUUAGCACCGAUCAUUAAUCACAAAAACUAGAAUUAUUAAAAAAAUACAAUCAAUUCACAUAAAACAUACAGAUACAGUGCCCAUCACGACACCAACCUUCCGUCAUUUCGAAUAUAACUCGAUCACGACACCAACCCGC